UACGUAGGGGGCUAGCGUUGUCCGGAAUCAUUGGGCGUAAAGCGCGUAGGCGGAUAUUUAAGUCGGGGGUGAAAGCCCAGGGCUCAACCCUGGAAUUGCCUUCGAUACUGGAUAUCUUGAGUUCGGGAGAGGUGAGUGGAAUGCCGAGUGUAGAGGUGAAAUUCGUAGAUAUUCGGCGGAACACCAGUGGCGAAGGCGACUCACUGGCCCGAUACUGACGCUGAGGCGCGAAAGCGUGGGGAGCAAACAGG
rnacentral:rRNA from 1 species